AAGUCGUAACAAGGUUUCCGUAGGUGAACCUGCGGAAGGAUCAUUUCCGAGAUUGUGCCUUCUUUUUCUUUUUUCCUUUUUUAUUCCUUGCGGGAUGAAAAAACCAGGAAAAAGAGAGGGGGGUAUAUCAAAGAGAGAAUGUGGUACAUAUGCGCGAUUCCCUUUUCUUUGCUUCAAAGAAAAGAGUUUCAUUUUCUAAACAAAUAAAAAAAACCAAGGUUACUAUUAUGUACAUUCAAAAAACAAACAUAUAUAAACAAAAUACAACUGUCAACGGUGGAUCUCUUGGCUCGU
rnacentral:misc_RNA from 1 species